rnacentral:rRNA from 1 species
UACGGAGGGAGCUAGCGUUGUUCGGAAUUACUGGGCGUAAGGCGCACGUAGGCGGCUUUGUAAGUUAGAGGUGAAAGCCCGGAGCUCAACUCCGGAAUUGCCUUUAAGACUGCAUCGCUUGAAUCCGGGAGAGGUGAGUGGAAUUCCGAGUGUAGAGGUGAAAUUCGUAGAUAUUCGGAAGAACACCAGUGGCGAAGGCGGCUCACUGGACCGGUAUUGACGCUGAGGUGCGAAAGCGUGGGGAGCAAACAGG